CUAAACGACUCUCGGCAACGGAUAUCUCGGCUCUCGCAUCGAUGAAGAACGUAGCGAAAUGCGAUACUUGGUGUGAAUUGCAGAAUCCCGCGAACCAUCGAGUCUUUGAACGCAACUUGCGCCCGGAGCCAUUACGUUGAGGGCACGUCUUCCUGGGCGUCUCACGUUGCGUCGC
rnacentral:rRNA from 1 species